GGAGGUUCUUCUGAGGCUGCUGCCAGUGGUCAAAGCCUCCAGCAAAGCUCUACUGAGCAGCUGUUCCCUCUCAGAUGAAGGAUGUUCAGCUCUGUCCUCAGCUCUCAGCUCUCCGUCCUCCAGACUGAAGGAACUGGACCUGAGAAUCCAGGACUCAGGACUGAAGGAGCUGUGUGAUGGACUGGAAAACUGGAAACUGGAAACUCUCAGGCUGAGUGUGUGUGGUUUCCUGCAGGACUCAGGACUGAAGAAGCUGUGUGAUGGACUGAAGAGUCCAAACUACAAACUGGAAACUCUCAGGUCAGGAUUCAUCAAAUUCAUAUAUAAUGUUAAAGGGAUGGAAUGUUUAUUUCUCUAAAAGGAGGGCAGGUAGAAAAAGUGUGAGAACCACUGAGUUAUAGCUGCUGUUAGAAUGAGUUUGUAGUUGUAGUUUCUAUUUUCACCAGCAGAGGGCGCUUUUAGUUCUUCUGUACUGAUGCCAAUGAGAACAGACUUCAGCCGAGAGAGAGCAUGCUAAUGCUAAUAACUGGAUGAAGAGUGGUUAAAGCUUCAUUUCAUGUUGAAUUAUUGAUUCUGGAAGGUAUCCACACCCACGAGGAGGUUUCUGAGUUGCGGGACAUCACCGUGUUAUUGUGUUUUUGUGGAGAGA